AUACUUACCUGAUCCUGAAGGUGAUUUUCCCAGGGUGAAGUUUAUCCAUUGUAUUCCAGAUAUACUGAACCGUGUGAUUUCUCCAAAUGUAGGACCCUACUACAUAAUUUGUGGCAGUGGGCAACUGCAUUCUCACUUUUCCCUU
ensembl:snRNA U1 U1 spliceosomal RNA